UACGGGGGGGGCAAGCGUUGUUCGGAAUUACUGGGCGUAAAGGGCUCGUAGGCGGCCAACUAAGUCAGACGUGAAAUCCCUCGGCUUAACCGGGGAACUGCGUCUGAUACUGGAUGGCUAGAGAUUGGGAGAGGGAUGCGGAAUUCCAGGUGUAGCGGUGAAAUGCGUAGAUAUCAGGAGGAACACCGGUGGCGAAGGCGGGUCUCUGGGCCGAUACUGACGCUGAGGAGCGAAAGCGUGGGGAGCGAACAGG
rnacentral:rRNA from 1 species